GAUUUUCCUUGUUUUCUUUUCAUUUCCUUUCUUUUCUUACUUCUUUCUUCUCCUAACUUCUUGAGCACCAAACCUGCAGCUUCUAACCCCAUUUUCCAGCACAACCAAACUCUAGGAGAGAGAAGGAAAAAAUCUCUCUUUCUUUCCUUUAUUUUUUAUUUCUACUUCACCAUCAUCGACACUUGAAUUUUCAACUUUAAAUCUCCAUUUUUAAGGCUAAAAGGUUUUUGUUGAUCUUUAUGCCUCCAAGCUCACCAAGGUUUUAAUGGUAUUUUGGGACUACCUGGAUUAAGAUCUUGUGGGUGCUAGUCUUGUUAGGUGGCAUUGUUAAGUUUUCAAGCUCGAAGGUAGUUGGAUCCUAUGUAGAGGUGUUUUCUCCUGUUCAUUGUACGGUAGGUUUACCAGGACACUCCAUGAUAGUACCCACGCCAGAGUCACUCUGCUGAUAGUCAAGGUUUUUUGUAUAUGUAUAUAGUUAUUUAAAUGUAAUUUGUGAGAUUUUUUGUAAACACUGUAUGUUUGGUUUGCAUGAUAAUGUUGCCACAGGUUGGCAAAUGGUAAUAUUAUUUUGUGAA